GCGCCCGUAGCUCAGCGGAUAGAGCAGUGGACUUCGAAUCCGAAGGUCGGGGGUUCGAAUCUCUCCGGGCGUGCCA
rnacentral:tRNA from 1 species